rnacentral:ncRNA from 2 species
CGCCUGAAGCGGGGGUGCCCGGGCGUGACGCGGGCUGAGAAUUACCCUUCGAACCUGAUCCGGCUCGCACCGGCGUAGGGAGCUUCGUGGUGCGGGCC